CGGCGGCGUCCGGUGAGCUCUCGCUGGCC
rnacentral:piRNA from 7 species